rnacentral:rRNA from 1 species
AACAGGAUUAGAUACCCUGGUAGUCCACCCCGUAAACGUUGGGAACUAGUUGUGGGGACCAUUCCACGGUUUCCGUGACGCAGCUAACGCAUUAAGUUCCCCGCCUGGGGAGUACGGCCGCAAGGCUAAAACUCAAAGGAAUUGACGGGGACCCGCACAAGCGGCGGAGCAUGCGGAUUAAUUCGAUGCAACGCGAAGAACCUUACCAAGGCUUGACAUAUACGAGAACGGGCCAGAAAUGGUCAACUCUUUGGACACUCGUAAACAGGUGGUGCAUGGUUGUCGUCAGCUCGUGUCGUGCGAUGUUGGGUUAAGUCCCGCAACGAGCGCAACCCUCGUUCUAUGUUGCCAGCACGUAAUGGUGGGAACUCAUGGGAUACUGCCGGGGUCAACUCGGAGGAAGGUGGGGAUGACGUCAAAUCAUCAUGCCCCUUAUGUCUUGGGCUUCACGCAUGCUACAAUGGCCGGUACAAAGGGCUGCAAUACCGUAAGGUGGAGCGAAUCCCAAAAAGCCGGUCCCAGUUCGGAUUGAGGUCUGCAACUCGACCUCAUGAAGUCGGAGUCGCUAGUAAUCGCAGAUCAGCAACGCUGCGGUGAAUACGUUCCCGGGUCUUGUACACACCGCCCGUCAAGUCAUGAAAGUCGGUAACACCUGAAGCCGGUGGCCCAACCCUUGUGGAGGGAGCCGUCGAAGGUGGGAUCGGUAAUUAGGACUAAGUCGUAACAAGGUAACC